rnacentral:tRNA from 1 species
GCCCUGGUAGCUCAAUGGUUAAGUGCUCAGCUCCUAAAUGAAAAGUUGGUGGUUCAAACCCACUCCAGGGCU